GGAUGAAUUGCACCUGCUGGCAGGGUAAUUGUGGUGUGGCAGCCAAUGACACUAGAGGGUGCUCCCUAUAAAAAGCACAGGUAAACUGCAGGUUUAGAUUAGAUUGGUUGGCUGAAGACACGUCACCGUGUGGUCCAGUGUUGUGCCUGCUGGGUGCCAAGUGCAGAUAACUGUCGGCAUGUUUGCCCUCACCACUGAUUGUGGGUGUAGUGGCUGCUGUGGCCAGAGUUUGUGCCCUUACGUGAUCUCCCCACAAGUGAGAGAGGAGAUUGGCAUGAUCGGAAUUGUGGGUGGCAGCUUUUAACUUGACCCCAUCAGCCCCGCUGCUGCUUUGCCUCAUUUUGAUUCUCCUGUGUUCCUACAAAAUGUUUGACUGAGGUGUGGCGCUCGAAGACACGCCCACGCCACGGAGGAGGGGAAGCAGAGGUUUACUAUCCAGCAGUCUGGUUGAAUCAAUUGUUUCUCUGCUGAUCAAAGACUACUUCUAAACCACAACUUUCCAAUUUUAUCUGUAAAUUGUCUUUUUGGUAUUUGUUUAUUUUUUGUUUCUAAUUUUGUUUUUAUUCUUUUAGCUCAGUGCUGAGGACCAGUGACGGUGGUGUGGUUGACCUGGAUGGCGGUGUCCCUUUUGUGUGUGCAUGCUUGCGGUGAUCAACACAGGUGGAGGGAAACCCAAGGAGUGAGUGUGGUUUCACGUGUGUUUGUAGUAGUUUGUCUUUGGGAGCCGCUCGUCCAGAACAGGUCUGGCACCUACCGGUAAGCCUCAGUAGCUGAGCAUUAGUAGUUUGUUUUCUUUUGUUUUUAUUUUUUGAACAGUUUGUUUUUUAAUCAGUCUAUCACAUUU